rnacentral:tRNA from 1 species
GGCUCUUAGUGGUGCAUUUUACAGAAAAAUCAUUUAAAAACAGCUUGCUGCUUUGGAUUGCAAAUCCGUGUACACCGGUUCGAUUCCGGUACUCGCCUCCA